UACAGAGGGGGCAAGCGUUAUUCGGAAUUAUUGGGCGUAAAGGGCGCGUAGGCGGCCUGGCAAGUGGGAGGUGAAAUCCCUCGGCUUAACCGAGGAACUGCCCUCCAAACUGCUUGGCUUGAGACCGGGAGAGGUGAGUGGAAUUCCCAGUGUAGCGGUGAAAUGCGUAGAUAUUGGGAGGAACACCAGUGGCGAAGGCGGCUCACUGGACCGGUACUGACGCUGAGGCGCGAAAGCGUGGGGAGCAAACGGG
rnacentral:rRNA from 1 species